rnacentral:rRNA from 1 species
GACGAACGCUGGCGGCGUGCUUAACACAUGCAAGUCGAGCGGAAAGGCCCUUCGGGGUACUCGAGCGGCGAACGGGUGAGUAACACGUGAGUAACCUGCCCCGAACUUUGGGAUAACCCUCGGAAACGGGGCUAAUACCGAAUAUGACCUGGACUCGCAUGGGUUUUGGUGGAAAGUUUUUCGGUUUGGGAUGGACUCGCGGCCUAUCAGCUUGUUGGUGAGGUAAUGGCUCACCAAGGCGAGGACGGGUAGCCGGCCUGAGAGGGCGACCGGCCACACUGGGACUGAGACACGGCCCAGACUCCUACGGGAGGCAGCAGUGGGGAAUAUUGCACAAUGGGCGGAAGCCUGAUGCAGCGACGCCGCGUGAGGGAUGACGGCC